GCCAGCGUAGCUCAGUCGGCAGAGCGUCUCCAUGGUAAGGAGAAGGUCCGCGGUUCGAUUCCGCGCGCUGGCU
rnacentral:tRNA from 1 species